CUUGGUCAUUUAGAGGAAGUAAAAGUCGUAACAAGGUUUCCGUAGGUGAACCUGCGGAAGGAUCAUUAAUGAAAGAAUUUGGUGGUCUGUAGCUGGCUCCCUGGAGCAUGUGCACGGUCAUCAUAUUUAUUCAUCCACCUGUGCACAAUUUGUAGUCUUGAGGGGAUUUGAUAACGGGGCUGAUUACAGUUCCGUGACCUGUUUUCUCAAGUCUAUGUGUCUUCUUCAUACACUACAUAGCAUGUCGCAGAAUGUAUUUAAUGGGUCUUUGUGCCUAUAAAAACUUUAUACAACUUUCAGCAACGGAUCUCUUGGCUCUCGCAUCGAUGAAGAACGCAGCGAAAUGCGAUAAGUAAUGUGAAUUGCAGAAUUCAGUGAAUCAUCGAAUCUUUGAACGCACCUUGCGCUCCUUGGUAUUCCGAGGAGCAUGCCUGUUUGAGUGUCAUUAAAUUCUCAACCUAUCCGACUUGUAUUAGUUGGUGUGUGGUUGGAUGNUNGGGGGUGUUUUUGCAGGCCUUUUAGGUCAGCUCCCCUGAAAUGCAUUAGCGGAACGGUUUGCGAUCCGUCACUGGUGUGAUAAUUAUCUACGCCAAAGACUAUGGAACGCUCUCUGUCUGUUCAGCUUACAACAGUCCCAUCUUGUGGACAACUUUUGAAUGUUUGACCUCAAAUCAGGUAGGACUACCCGCUGAACUUAAGCAUAUCAAUAAGCGGAGGAAAAGAAACUAACAAGGAUUCCCCUAGUAACUGCGAGUGAAGCGGGAAAAGCUCAAAUUUGAAAUCUGGCGGUCCUUGGCCGUCCGAGUUGUAAUCUAGAGAAGUGUUACCCGCGCUGGACCGUGUACAAGUCUCCUGGAAUGGAGCGUCAUAGAGGGUGAGAAUCCCGUCUCUGACACGGACUCCCAGGGCUUUGUGGUAUGCUCUCAAAGAGUCGAGUUGUUUGGGAAUGCAGCUCAAAAUGGGUGGUAAAUUCCAUCUAAAGCUAAAUAUUGGCGAGAGACCGAUAGCGAACAAGUACCGUGAGGGAAAGAUGAAAAGAACUUUGGAAAGAGAGUUAAACAGUACGUGAAAUUGCUGAAAGGGAAACGCUUGAAGU
rnacentral:rRNA from 1 species